rnacentral:rRNA from 1 species
CGGACGGGCGAGUAAUGUCUGGGAAACUGCCCGAUGGAGGGGGAUAACUACUGGAAACGGUAGCUAAUACCGCAUAACGUCGCAAGACCAAAGAGGGGGACCUUCGGGCCUCUUGCCAUCGGAUGUGCCCAGAUGGGAUUAGCUAGUAGGUGGGGUAACGGCUCACCUAGGCGACGAUCCCUAGCUGGUCUGAGAGGAUGAUCAGCCACACUGGGACUGAGACACGGCCCAG